AUCCAGCUGGAGGACGAGUCCCAAAUAGGACGAAAUGCGCAUCCUGGUGGAU
rfam:Trichobilharzia regenti genome assembly, scaffold: TRE_scaffold0024031